rnacentral:rRNA from 1 species
UACAGAGGGUGCAAGCGUUUGUUCGGAAUUAUUGGGCGUAAAGGGCGCGUAGGCGGUGCGGUAAGUCUUUUGUGAAAUCUCCGGGCUCAACUCGGAGUCUGCAAGAGAAACUGCCGUGCUGGAGUAUGGGAGAGGUGAGUGGAAUUCCCGGUGUAGCGGUGAAAUGCGUAGAUAUCUGGAGGAAUACCGGUGGCGAAGGCGGCAUCCUGGACCAAUACUGACGCUGAGGCGCGAAAGCUAGGGGAGCGAACGGG